GCCUUCGUGGUGUAGUGGUCAGCACGCUCGACGCAUAACCGAGAGGUCCGUGGUUCGAUUCCCGGCGAAGGGU
rnacentral:tRNA from 1 species